UAUACGGAGAAGAAGAAAGAAAUAUACCCCUUUGACUGACACCCUUAAAAAAAAGAACAUCCUUUAUCGCUGGGAAGUGCUGGAAGGGUUAUCGUUCACCUACAAAAGCAAAAACUGGACUAUAAAUUCUGAAGAGAAAAUGAAAGACUUCAUGCAAAAAUACAAAAAAGACUUAACAAAAUGAGACACUGUUGGUAAUGUAAGGCUAUGAAUUAUUAUAUACUGUGGAAUUAAUUCUUAGCUGGUAUUAUAAAAUAUGCAGAUAAUAUUUAGAUCAUAUUAAUUAGAUAACUUGAUUGGAAUAGAACGGUAAAUAUAAUAAUGUGUCCCUCUUGUUCUGAAUAUAAGGUGCCUAUAUACAUAUGUGGAAAUAUAAAUAUAAUGUGUGUAUAGUUAAGUAAAUAUUUAUAUGGUUACAAGUGGCUGAAUAGAAAGCUGUACAAAGGAAGGUGCAACUAUAUAGAUAUAAUAAUACUCAGCCAAACCAAUGAGGAAGUCUAAAAGUAGUAAAGAUAAGAAACAAACCAAACUACUUGUUUAUCAGAAUAAAGGACAGCAAUGAAGAAAAUGAUUUGGUAAAAGGGUUGGACUAGACCUUUUUUUGUUAGCUGUAAUAGAGAAAUAAUGUAUGAAUAACUGUAUGUAUAUUUUUAAACAAUAAAAAUUAUUGAAUGA